GGCCGAGUGGUGUAGUUGGUUAUCACGUUUCGUUAACAAAACAGGAUCACAUUUGAUCCGAAAAGGUCCUGAGUUCGAGUCUCAGCUUGGUCA